rfam:Hordeum vulgare subsp. vulgare, WGS project CAJW01000000 data, contig: morex_contig_93522
CAUAUACUCCCUCCGUCCCAAAAUUCUUGUCUUACAUUUGUCUAUAUAUGAAUGUGUCUAGUCAUGUUUUAGUAUUUGGAUACAUUCAUUUUUAGACAAACCUAAGACAAGAAUUUUGGGACGGAGGGAGUACUAC